rnacentral:rRNA from 1 species
UGCAGUCGAGCGGUAGCACAGAGAGCUUGCUCUCGGGUGACGAGCGGCGGACGGGUGAGUAAUGUCUGGGAAACUGCCUGAUGGAGGGGGAUAACUACUGGAAACGGUAGCUAAUACCGCAUAAUGUCGCAAGACCAAAGUGGGGGACCUUCGGGCCUCAUGCCAUCAGAUGUGCCCAGAUGGGAUUAGCUAGUAGGUGGGGUAACGGCUCACCUAGGCGACGAUCCCUAGCUGGUCUGAGAGGAUGACCAGCCACACUGGAACUGAGACACGGUCCAGACUCCUACGGGAGGCAGCAGUGGGGAAUAUUGCACAAUGGGCGCAAGCCUGAUGCAGCCAUGCCGCGUGUGUGAAGAAGGCCUUCGGGUUGUAAAGCACUUUCAGCGGGGAGGAAGGCGAUAAGGUUAAUAACCUUGUCGAUUGACGUUACCCGCAGAAGAAGCACCGGCUAACUCCGUGCCAGCAGCCGCGGUAAUACGGAGGGUGCAAGCGUUAAUCGGAAUUACUGGGCGUAAAGCGCACGCAGGCGGUCUGUCAAGUCGGAUGUGAAAUCCCCGGGCUCAACCUGGGAACUGCAUUCGAAACUGGCAGGCUAGAGUCUUGUAGAGGGGGGUAGAAUUCCAGGUGUAGCGGUGAAAUGCGUAGAGAUCUGGAGGAAUACCGGUGGCGAAGGCGGCCCCCUGGACAAAGACUGACGCUCAGGUGCGAAAGCGUGG